GAUGAACGCUGGCGGCGUGCCUAAUACAUGCAAGUCGAACGCUGAAGGAGGAGCUUGCUCUUCUGGAUGAGUUGCGAACGGGUGAGUAACGCGUAGGUAACCUGCCUGGUAGCGGGGGAUAACUAUUGGAAACGAUAGCUAAUACCGCAUGACAACAGUUAUUGCAUGAUAACUGUUUAAAAGGGGCAACUGCUCCACUACCAGAUGGACCUGCGUUGUAUUAGCUAGUUGGUGAGGUAACGGCUCACCAAGGCGACGAUACAUAGCCGACCUGAGAGGGUGAUCGGCCACACUGGGACUGAGACACGGCCCAGACUCCUACGGGAGGCAGCAGUAGGGAAUCUUCGGCAAUGGACGGAAGUCUGACCGAGCAACGCCGCGUGAGUGAAGAAGGUGUUCGGAUCGUAAAGCUCUGUUGUAAGAGAAGAACGAGUGUGAGAGUGGAAAGUUCACACUGUGACGGUAUCGGACCAGAAAGGGACGGCUAACUACGU
rnacentral:rRNA from 1 species